UACGUAGGGUGCAAGCGUUGUCCGGAAUUAUUGGGCGUAAAGAGCUUGUAGGCGGUUUGUCGCGUCUGCUGUGAAAUUUCGGGGCUCAACCCCGAACUUGCAGUGGGUACGGGCAGACUAGAGUGUGGUAGGGGAGACUGGAAUUCCUGGUGUAGCGGUGAAAUGCGCAGAUAUCAGGAGGAACACCGAUGGCGAAGGCAGGUCUCUGGGCCAUAACUGACGCUGACAGCGCGAAAGCCAGGGGAGCAAACGGG
rnacentral:rRNA from 1 species